UGGGGGAUAUUGGACAAUGGGGGGAACCCUGAUCCAGCGACGCCGCGUGAGUGAAGGAGCGUUUCGGCGCGUAAAGCUCUAUCAGCAGGGAAGAAAGAGGACGGUACCUGACUAAGAAGCCCCGGCUAACUACGUGCCAGCAGCCGCGGUAAUACGUAGGGGGCAAGCGUUAUCCGGAUUUACUGGGUGUAAAGGGAGCGUAGACGGCAAGGCAAGUCUGGUGUGAAAGGUCGGGGCUCAACCCCGGGACUGCAUUGGAAACUGCCUGGCUGGAGUGCAGGAGAGGCAAGUGGAAUUCCUAGUGUAGCGGUGAAAUGCGUAGAUAUUAGGAGGAACACCAGUGGCGAAGGCGGCUUGCUGGACUGUAACUGACGUUGAGGCUCGAAAGCGUGGGGAGCAAACAGG
rnacentral:rRNA from 1 species